GCAUUCAAACAGAUACCCAAACCCUAGCAAAUACAGCAUUCCCAAUCUAUUACAGUAGUAGCAAACAAUAGAUCUGUUUCGUAGAAGCGGAUUUGCAGCUCCAUGGUCUCAAAAAAUGGGUAAUUUCUCUAAUUUUUCGAUUUCCCACUGUGAUUUAUAACAAUUUUUCGAGCGCUACUGUUGAGAUGAAUCAGUUUUCUUUUUGUACUCUAUGUGUUCGAGGAAUUGCGUCUAUGAAUAUUGUUAUUAAUUGUUGUUGCCUUUUAAUCUUUGCAGGCUUUGGUUUUGCUAUACUGGGCGUCUUCUUCGAGAGUGGUAAGAUCUGGAUCCGAGACUGUGUGAGUCUAAUGAAGUUCGAUUCCGACGGUGGUAGAGAGUAAUGCGGGAUGUGAUUUGCUUUGUCGAUUAGAAGGAAGUUGAUUGUAACCCAAUGUCUAUGCUUACAGAUGAUCGACAAGGGUAUUUCACAUCUGGAUAAGCCGAACACUCAUAACACUCAUAAGUUUGUUAUAGGGGUGAGUCCCGGAGGAGGAUCCGGAAGAGGAUCCAGAGGAGGAUCCGGAAGAGGACCCACAUACCUGCCACAUCAACUAGUGACCAGGCCCCGACUCAGACCCACAUACCUGCCACAUCAACUAGUGACCAGGCCCCGACUCAGGGAUCGUAAAUAGAACCUUACCUACCUAGUAGGUUGUUAUGUAAUUAUUCCAGAAACAUAUGUAAUACUGAUGCUUUGUACGCCUUAUGUUAGAUUUAUUUUUAAAUAUUUUGAAUUUUAGUUUUUAGAUAACACUCAUAAGAUUGUUGACGAUAUAUUUGUUUUUAGAUCUUUUGAAUAA
rnacentral:lncRNA from 1 species